GGUCACUUGCCGUUGUGUGUAAUAUUUUAGUAUCGCCGUUUAUUAGUCGUAAAUAUAACUUUUCAUUAGACGGCUCGCAAGCUGACGUCACUUUUGUUCCUUGAAGUGAAGCGGAAUAAACCUUGAGAAAGAGUCUCCUUCAAUCUGCUGUUAGUAACUAACACACACACUCACUCACACCGAGACUCAAUUACUGCCCAAUUCCCUUCUUUAUCAUCUCUUGCUACCGGCCUCCAACAACAACGCCAAAUCGAGAAGGAAAAAAAGAAAUAUUACUUGAAAUAAUACUUGAAGCUGAGUCGAGCGGGGAAAUACGUAGAAGUGUCCCAACUAAGGAAUAAAAAGCACAAGCAUCGGGACUUGGUCCUCCACGAAAGGAUAACUGGCAACUGCACAAAACUGUUUGCCGAGCAGUGAUGUCACAGAGCUGAAUACAC